ensembl:misc_RNA 7SK 7SK RNA
GUAUAUGAGGCUUGAUCUUACUGCAACAUCUGUCACCCCAUUGACCACCAGGGUUGAUUUGGCUUCCCUGGCUGCCUAGGACUAGUGUCCCCUUCCUCCCUCAACACUCCAUGCACAUCCUUCCCAAAACUGUGCUUCAUGUUGAAGAGGAUAAUCUUCUCUGAAUAGAGAUGCCCAAUCUUCAGUUAAAGGUAUAUGAGUAUAUUCACUCCCCUGCUAGAACUUCCAAAUGAACUCUCAGGGUUCACUAAAAAAAGACUCAGAGAUUAGGGAGGAUGUAUUCUUCCAUCAGUGCAGAGUUCACAUUAU